GUCGGUCUAGAGUGGAUCUCCAAAAGCCGUGAAAAGAAUUUUGGAUGAUCUAGACUGGACUGCAACGUGCGACACCGUGGGACAUCGUUGGACAUCUUUGGGUCACCAAAAGCCGCGAAAAGAAUUUUGGAUGAUUUAGACUGGACUGCACCGUGGGACACCGUGGGACGUCGUUGGACGACUUUGGGUCACCAAAAGCCGCGAAAAGAAUUUUGGAUGAUUUAGACUGGACUGCACCGUGGGACACCGUGGGACGUCAGUGGAUCUCCAAAAGCCGUGAAAAGAAUUUUGGAUGAUCUAGACUGGACUGCAACGUGGGACACCGUGGGACAUCGUUGGACAUCUUUGGGUCACCAAAAACCGCGAAAAGAAUUUUGGAUGAUUUAGACUGGACUGCACCGUGGGACACCGUGGGACGUCGUUGGACGACUUUGGGUCACCAAAAACCGCGAAAAGAAUUUUGGAUGAUUUAGACUGGACUGCACCGUGGGACACCGUGGGACGUCGUUGGACGACUUUGGGUCACCAAAAACCGCGAAAAGAAUUUUGGAUGAUUUAGACUGGACUGCACCGUGGGACACCGUGGGACGUCGUUGGACGACAGUGGAUCUCCAAAAGCCGUGAAAAGAAUUUUGGAUGAUCUAGACUGGACUGCAACGUGCGACACCGUGGGACAUCGUUGGACAUCUUUGGGUCACCAAAAGUCGCGAAAAGAAUUUUGGAUGAUCUAGACUGGACUGCACCGUGGGACACCGUUGGAC